UACUCCUACGGGAGGCAGCAGUGGGGAAUUUUGGACAAUGGGGGCAACCCUGAUCCAGCCAUGCCGCGUGAGUGAAGAAGGCCUUCGGGUUGUAAAGCUCUUUCGGCCGGGAAGAAAUCGCAUGGGUGAAUACCCUGUGUGGAUGACGGUACCGGAACAAGAAGCACCGGCUAACUACGUGCCAGCAGCCGCGGUAAU
rnacentral:rRNA from 1 species